rnacentral:tRNA from 7 species
GGCCCCAUCGUCUAAUGGUUAGGACAUCAGGUUUUCAUCCUGGUAACAGGGGUUCAAUUCCCCUUGGGGUCACCA